rnacentral:rRNA from 1 species
GACGAACGCUGGCGGCGUGCUUAACACAUGCAAGUCGAACGGAAAGGCCCUGCUUUUGUGGGGUGCUCGAGUGGCGAACGGGUGAGUAACACGUGAGUAACCUGUCCUUGACUGUGGGAUAACUUCAUGAAACUGGGCUAAUACCGGACAGGAGCUCCUGCUGCUUGGUUGGGGUUGGAAAGUUUCGGCGGUUGGGGAUGGACUCGCGGCUUAUCAGCUUGUUGGUGGGGUAGUGGCUUACCAAGGCUUUGACGGGUAGCCGGCCUGAGAGGGUGACCGGCCACAUUGGGACUGAGAUACGGCCCAGACGCCUACGGGAGGCAGCAGUGGGGAAUAUUGCACAAUGGGCGGAAGCCUGAUGCAGCAACGCCGCGUGCGGGAUGACGGCCUUCGGGUUGUAAACCGCUUUCGCCUGUGACGAAGCGUGAGUGACGGUAAUGGGUAAAGAAGCACCGGCUAACUACGU